GUUACAGUAAAAUUGGUACCAUAGUUCCCCUUUACAAACAAUAAAUAUAUCUGUGGAUUUAUAAAUUUAUUGACCAAUGACGCAAUAUUUUGAUGAUUUUGCUACUAAAAAUGAAACUGGGCAACAUAAUUAGGAGAGAAAGGGGCAUUCUAAUAAUAAGAAUAAAAGGCAAAAGAGGUGGAGAGAAGAGGGAUGCUUCACAAGCAUAGGAGUCUUUAACAUUAAAAUGCAUUCAGAUAAGGAUGUAAUCAGUAGCAUGGUGCCAAAAUUACAUCAAAUUGCACAUGCAUGAACAAUUAGAUGUGAACACACUGGGUGGGCCAAAUAGUUCAUAAAAAACAAACAAGGAGCAUUCUAUUGUCCAAAGUAAAAAACUAAGAAAUUAUGUGUGCACCUGCAGAACCUGAAGGGGAAGCA
rnacentral:misc_RNA from 1 species